UGGGGAAUAUUGCACAAUGGGCGAAAGCCUGAUGCAGCAACGCCGCGUGAGUGAUGAAGGCCUUCGGGUUGUAAAGCUCUGUCUUUUGGGACGAUAAUGACGGUACCAAAGGAGGAAGCCACGGCUAACUACGUGCCAGCAACCGCGGUAAUACGUAGGUGGCAAGCGUUGUCCGGAUUUACUGGGCGUAAAGGAUGCGUAGGCGGAUUUUUAAGUGAGAUGUGAAAACCCUAAGCUUAACUUGGGGACUGCAUUUCAUACUGGAAAUCUAGAGUGCGGGAGAGGAGAAUGGAAUUCCUAGUGUAGCGGUGAAAUGCGUAGAGAUUAGGAAGAACACCAGUGGCGAAGGCGAUUCUCUGGACCGUAACUGACGCUGAGGCAUGAAAGCGUGGGUAGCAAACAGGAUUAGAUACCCUGGUAGUCCACGCCGUAAACGAUGAGUACUAGGUGUAGGAGGUAUCGACCCCUUCUGUGCCGCAGUUAACACAAUAAGUACUCCGCCUGGGAAGUACGAUCGCAAGAUUAAAACUCAAAUGAAUUGACGGGGUCAUAGCUG
rnacentral:rRNA from 1 species